rnacentral:rRNA from 1 species
UACGAAGGGGGCUAGCGUUGCUCGGAAUCACUGGGCGUAAAGCGCACGUAGGCGGAUUGCUAAGUCAGGGGUGAAAUCCUGGAGCUCAACUCCAGAACUGCCUUUGAUACUGGCGAUCUCGAGUCCGGGAGAGGUGAGUGGAACUGCGAGUGUAGAGGUGAAAUUCGUAGAUAUUCGCAAGAACACCAGUGGCGAAGGCGGCUCACUGGCCCGGUACUGACGCUGAGGUGCGAAAG